rnacentral:rRNA from 1 species
UACGGGGGGAGCAAGCGUUGUUCGGAUUUACUGGGCGUAAAGGGCGCGUAGGCGGCCUGUUAAGUCGAACGUGAAAUCCCCGGGCUCAACCCGGGAACUGCGUCCGAAACUGGCAGGCUUGAAUUCGGGAGAGGGAUGCGGAAUUCCAGGUGUAGCGGUGAAAUGCGUAGAUAUCUGGAGGAACAUCGGUGGCGAAGGCGGCAUCCUGGACCGAGAUUGACGCUGAGGCGCGAAAGCCAGGGGAGCAAACGGG